rnacentral:rRNA from 1 species
CAGCCGCCGCGGGAAAACGUAGGUGGCAAACGUUGUCCGGAAUUAUUGGGCGUAAAGGGCUCGCAGGCGGUUUCUUAAGUCUGAUGUGAAAGCCCCCGGCUCAACCGGGGAGGGUCAUUGGAAACUGGGAAACUUGAGUGCAGAAGAGGAGAGUGGAAUUCCACGUGUAGCGGUGAAAUGCGUAGAGAUGUGGAGGAACACCAGUGGCGAAGGCGACUCUCUGGUCUGUAACUGACGCUGAGGAGCGAAAGCGUGGGGAGCGAACAGGAUUAGAUACCCCAGUAGUCCCUGUCUCUUAUAC